UAUUAAAAAGGGCUGUAUUUGUGUUUGUUUUGAUCCCAUUUCAUGCUGCCUGUCAAUUUGUGUCAAAGCCUGCAUUUCCGUGUGACGCCUGUUUUGGAGGUAGUGUCUCUUUCACUUGGGCAAAAGGCAUAGGAUUGACAAACAUUCUGCUGAUGGCAUUAAUCUGGUUUUUAAAUUACAAAUGUGCUUUAUUAUAAUGUGCAACUCCUGAUCAAUUAUAAACAGUUACAGGUUUCAUGAGCAAAUGACUCGUCCUACAUUUGAAAUGUCUAAUGAAAGUGGUGUGAUUUAAUCAUUCAGAUUUGUGCAGAAUCAACACAUCUGCAAAGGAAUACUCAUUACAAAUGUAUUAUGCAUAUCAAAAUGAGGAAAUCAAUAGGAUGAAAUGUAACAGAAUUUCAUUGGACCAAUGGACCAUUGUGAGAUUUCCCAUUCUUUUCUUCACAGUGAAGCAUUACCCUUCUCAUGAAUUAUUUGUAUGUAUUUUAUGGACAUGUACAACACAUAUAACUUAUUCACUUGGCAUCGUCUUGUAACAUUUAUAAUGAUUAAUACGAAAGGUGUAAAAAAGGCCCCCCUUGUGGACGCCAAGUAUGACACCCUUUACUGUGACUUUCUCUCUCCCUGCUGAUGACGCAUCGCUUCAACUAACGUUCAGCCAAUCAGCGUACAGUUUGGGCUUGCGAUAUUACGCUGUAGUAAUUCUACCGAAGACCCCGCUCUAACAGCGCCGAUUUAGUGAUCCAACCUUGUACUCACAGCUGUCCGUUUUAUGUGCGUCUUUGGCAAAACCACACAUACACAAAGUAUGUGCACUCGUCCUCCACCAUCCCGCUGGAUGACCUCACGCUGCUGUUUGCCAAUGCGGGCAUGAACCAGUUCAAGCCCAUCUUCCUCAACACCAUUGAUCCAUCCCACCCCAUGGCAAGGCUUCGUCGCGCAGCCAAUACUCAAAAGCGUAUCCGUGCGGGAGGAAAACACAACGACCUGGAUGAUGUGGGCAAAGAUGUUUACCACCACACAUUCUUUGAGAUGUUGGGAUCUUGGUCCUUUGGGGACUACUUUAAGCAUCUGGCCUGAUGUAGACGCACAUCCCACCUCCUCGCGACUUUCCCCCUCGUACAAUGGGCAGGUCCGCCCCAAAAGCACGCUAGCCGCUCUAGAUGCACAGCAGAGUCCGGAAUGAUGACGGUCAACCAAGUCCCAGUGAACACGAGCACACAGCAGUUACGCACUGUCCGGUUUGUAGAUCUCAGCAGGCGAAAGUAAACCAUGUUGAUGUCCAGCGACCAAACAUUCGCCAGAAGAAUGGAAGGCACGGUCGGGCGAGCUGGGUUGGCCGCCAGCUUGGCCCGGACGUCCCCGCUCUCGCCCCUGUUCAGCCUCCUCGCACACCGCUUCCGACGCUUCCCAACCGGGGGAGGAAUAGCAGGAGAGUCCGGCGACGCUUCAGGACGGAGCAGACCGAGCGCCUUUAGUGUCCCCGCAUCAAAGUCCAGAACGCCACAAAACUCGCUUUCGCCGAUGUCGAGCAGAACCAGCCCGCCGUACUUGUAGCACAACCCAGUACGACGAGACGAACACACAAAACUGUCGGACAAACCCACAUUAGACAGCAAAACAAAACAAAACACCGUUCGAGACAGAGAGAGGCCGCGGCGUGUGCACGCGCCGCCAUCUUACUGGAGGCCACAAUCUGUGUUUAUUUGCCUGUCGUAGUAUCACUGUUGCAGAAUAAUGUUUUGUUUUUGUGAAAGGGCAGCACCUGCCCUUGUAAUACUCAACCUUUCGCCCCACCCUUUGCAGCCUGCUAACAACAAAAAACACAUGCAGUAAAUAAGUAAAACACAAGCUCGCGGCACACGUGCUCCUGACGUCACGACCUUUUUCAUCGUAUACUGGACUUUGCUUUGGUUCCAAGCAGCUGUGGACAUCUCAGUAAAGUCACUGAGGCACCGGCCGAUGAGCCGCCUUGUGUCGGUGUCUAGGACGUCUGGGACAGCGGGGAGUUGAAGGACCGGCACCGGCGGGGAGCCUUCAUCCAUGUCGCCGUUUUCAGAAUGAUGCUCCGGUAGUUCGGCGUUCUCGUAUGCGGCCACGUCCAGCUGCAAAGGUCGUCCUUCCAUGACUGAAUUUGGAGGGAUGACAGCGUCCAUGAGUCCAACGUUGGAGUGUCUACUCGCCGGCAAAUCCUUGUCGCUUGUCGCUAGGCAACGGCUGGAUGUGAGUGGUCCUUCCUCGCUCGCGUCUUCGCCUCUAUUUAAGGCAAGUUCUGCGCAUGCGCUAGUCACAUCAAAGGACAUGAAAGAGUUUUCAGUUAUUCAAAGAAGCCAAUUUGUCAUAUUUGGUCACAUGUGCAAAACAGAAUAAUACAAAAAACUCCGGAGGGAUUUAACAGUUUUUUUUCCCCUUAAGUCAACAAAGCAGACCUGCGGUUGGUACUCAUCAGCCAUUAAGUCAAACAAACUUCUAUGCAGGUAAAAUAAAUCAAUUAACUAAUCAUUUAAAAAGAACACACACAAGCACACACACAAACCCGUUGACAACAAACGAGUUCGCGGCCCAGAGCUCUAUAUAUAUAUAUAUAAUCUUCUGUGUAGAAAAUCUUAUAAUAUAUAUAUGUAUACUUAUAUUCAUAGAUUAUAUAUAAUCUUAUACAAAUAUAAGAUAUAAUUUAUAAUAUUUAAUUCAUAAUAUUUUAUUAUAAUAAUAUUUACAUAUUUAAUAAUAAUCAUAAUAUUUAAUAUUUUAGGUCUAUUGCGUUAGUAAUUUCCUCCACUGAGUCAAUUAAUGCCAGUGAUGUUUCUCCGUUGGAGCUAAAUCCAUAUUGACUUUCAGUGAGUACUUUAUCUAUAAAUUUGACCAGUCGGUUAUUGAAAAGUUUUUCCAGUAUUUUAGAAAAUUGUGAUAGUAAUGAUACAGGUCUGUAGUUGGUGAAGUGGUGUUUGUUCCCGGUUUUAUACAAAAGGUAUGAUUUUUUGCUAUUUUCAUUUUAUCUGGAAAUAUACCGGUCUGAAAUGAUAGGUUACAGAUGUAUGUUAAUGGUUUAGAAAUGCCCUCAAUCACUCGUUUUACGGUAAUCAUAUCAAUGUCAUCACAAUCUCUGGAUGUCUUGUUUGUGCAUUGGGAAACUAUCUUUGUCAUUUCUUUCUCAUCCGCUGCUUUGAGGAACAUUGAGCUCAGAUUCCUAUCUAUUAAACUAUUACACUGCUCCUCAGUUGUUACUGAAUCUGGGAUUUGUUUGGCCAGAUCAGGUCCCACACUUACAAAGAAUGUAUUAAAGUUAUCAGCCACUCCUUGCAUAUCAUGCUUCGCAGUGUUAUUGAUAAUAAAAUAUUUGGGAUAAUGAAUUUUUUUUAGAGCCAUUUUUUAUUACAGUAUUCAUUAUAUUCCAUAUUUCUUUGGUGUUAUUUUUAUUAUCAUUUAAUAUCUUGCUAUAAGUAUUCUUUUCUAGCAGCUCUUUUAAUAUUAGUUAGUUUAUUCUUAAAUUGUUUGUAUUUAUUUUCUGACUCUUUAGUUCUCUGUCUUAUAAAUUCUCUGUAAAGUGUAUUUUUCUUUUUACAGGCAUUUUGUAAGCCCUUUAUGAUCCAAGGAUGAUCUACAAACUUUAGUUUCCUAUUAUUUACUUUUACAGGGCAGUAUUUGUCGUAUAACCUUUUGAAAAUGUUUAAGAAUUCCUCAUAUGCACAGUUAAUGUUAUUUUCAUUGUGUAUAGUAUCCCAGUUUUGUGACAUUAAACCAUUUUAAAAUGCG